rnacentral:misc_RNA from 1 species
UCUCCCGUGAGGGAGCUGUCUCGCCUGACACUUGUAACAGGCAACGAGGGUUGCGUUCGUUUCCCCACUUAAGGGAACAGCUCAAGCCACGAACUGACGACGGCCAUGCAUCACCUGCCAUACACCCUCGAAGGCUCCUCUACUUUCAUAGAGGAUGCAGUAUGGUUUCUAGCCUUGGUAAGGUUCCUCGCUUAGUGACGAAUUAAGCCCCAUGAUCCACCGCUUGUGCGAGCCCCCGUCUAUUCCUUUGAGUUUUAAUCUUGCGAUCGUACUACCCAGGCGGUCCGCUUAAUGCGUUAGCUACGCCACAGAGAGGGUCGAUACUCCCUAUAGCUAGCGGACAGCGUUUAGGGCGUGGACUAC